rnacentral:rRNA from 1 species
GUCGCCUGUUUAACAAAAACAUAACUGUAUGAAAUACUAUACAGCUUUUUCUGCUCCAUGAUACGUUAAAUAGCCGCAGUACUCUGACUGUGCAAAGGUAGCAUAAUCAAUUGGCUUCUAAUUAAAGUCUAGUAUGAACGAACGUAUGGGUAAUGACUGUCUAGGGAUGUUACUACAAAAUUAUCAGGUUGGUGCAAAUGCCAACAGAUCUAAAAAAGACGAGAAGACCCUAGAAACUUAUAGUUUAUUUUGCUGGGGCGGCAGAAUUGCAUAUAACCAAUUUUUUAUUUACGUGAAGCGAUGCAGAAAGAAAAAGUUACUCUAGGGAUAACAGCAUAAUUUUUAUAGUUUGUGACCUCGAUGUUGGACUAGGGAUAAUAUCCCUUAGAAGGGGAUAAUUAUGGCUCUGUUCGAGCUUCUUACCCUACGUGAUCUGAGUUCAAACCGGACG